rnacentral:tRNA from 1 species
AGGAUUAUAGUUAAUAAUAACAUUUGGGUUGCAUUCAAAAAGUACUAUAAAUUAGUUAAUCUUA